UACGUAGGCAGCAAGCGUUGUUCGGAGUUACUGGGCGUAAAGAGUGUGUAGGCGGUUCUCUAAGUUCCGUGUGAAAUCUCCCGGCUCAACUGGGAGGGUGCGCGGAAAACUGGAGGGCUGGAGUAUGGGAGAGGAAAGCGGAAUUCCUGGUGUAGCGGUGAAAUGCGUAGAUAUCAGGAGGAACACCUGCGGUGUAGACGGCUUUCUGGACCAUCACUGACGCUGAGACACGAAAGCGUGGGUAGCAAACAGG
rnacentral:rRNA from 1 species